rnacentral:ribozyme from 14 species
UGUUUCUUUUUCUUCUUUUUCUUCUUCUUCUCUUUUUUCUUCUUCCGAGGAACAAUAAUAAU